GAGCGACUUGCCUCCCCUCCUGGGGAGGGACUGCGCCUCCAGCCCUUGGCGCCGCUGGGGUGGCAUCGCCUGGCCCCUAGGGCCGCGCCCUACGUCCUGAGGGAGCACCCUGCCUCGGGCCUGCGUCCUCUCUUUAGAGUGAUUUGGUGCUGAGAACAUGGCAUUCAUGGACUCUGAAGAACAAGGAGUGACACUGAGCCAGUAAGAGUCUCUCUUCUGAUGAACUUUUACUCGAAAUACUGAAAUGUGUAUAAGGCUGCCACUGUUCACAGACUUUAUGUUCAAGGAAAUGCUGUCAAGGAGGGAGCUGUGUGAGCUGCUGAUCCAUGCUCCUGCCCAUGCCUAGAAUAAGGAAUCACAGUGAGAAGCCACAGUGUAAAGAAGAGAGAGCCUCCACUGUCCUCUUCUGUGGUCCUCAAAUUCAUUCACAUUGCUUGGCUUUGUAGUGAGGAGAACUACCAGGUGGAGAUUGCAGGCUGAUGAUCAUCACCUGGUACCUGUGGACAGAAGAGAUGGUCAGCGUGGCACUUAUCAAUGUGUGUAUUUACUAUGAAAUUUACCCUGGGAGAAACAAGGAAAGCAGCUGUGAGAAUGGAAUUUGAAGAAAGGUAAUACCUUCUGGUAAACAACAGCAAGAUCCAUGAAAUCUCUGCAGUCUUCCUGGGUAAGAAGUUGCCAUGAUUUCUGUAGACUUGGUCUUCCUUUUCACUCCUGGAAAUACUCCCUUUAGGGCAGAGUUAAAGCACUUUAAUAGAGAAACACAUCUUUUCUGCUUCUAUUCUGCCUAAGCAGUGCAUACAAAGGAGCUUUGCAUUUUGAAUUCAACUACAACAAAAUUCACUUUCAAAAAACUGCUGUUGAGAUACUUUGGUUGCAGACUUGCUUUGUAUGACAUAUUCAAUAUCUAGGAUAAAAGUGCUUUAUAUUUGCUACAUAACAUAACUGGUAGUGGUAAUGGAUUGUGCCAUGAAAUUUGCCACUUAAUUGUACCAACUUAUUCUUUAGAACUCUGCAAUACAGGGAAAGUAUGACUUGACUAUCAUUAGACUUUAGCUUGGAUUUAUGAUCUAUUCCAAAGAGUUAAAAACUUCUUUUUAAAGUGUAAAUUUUUUAAAAGAAAAAAUUCAUUUGAUCGUUUCAGUCAAGUUUGUGAUAUGUAUUACCUUGCAAAGUAGCAAUGAUAAAAGAAUUGAAUGUAAAAAGAAUGGUUUUAGUUCAAUACCAUGAUCAUUAUGACAUGAAAGACAAAUUAUUUCAUUCACUUCCUGUGUUAAAGAGUGAAAACAAACUACUUCUUAUACCCACUCUUGAGAUAGUAAGUGAAAUGCAAAAAUAUUUAUAGAAAAGUCUGGAGUCACUGCCUUGAAAAAUUUCCAAAAAGUGUUUUCAACAUCUUAAGCUAUAGGGAAAUAAUUGAUGGAUAAUAAGUUACAUGUUCUUUCUUUCUUUUGCCCUGCUUAUCUCUGAGAAUGUGAGGACUUGGCAUUGAAAAUUGCAUUGCCUUACGGACAACCUCAAAGGUCUUUGAAAAAUAAUAUUUUUCAGUUUUGCUGAGGCAAGCAUCAAAUCCCAAACAUGAUUGUCUGAGAACAAAUCAUUUGAUU